GACGAGGUGGCCGAGUGGUGAAGGUGAUGGACUGCUAAUCCAUUGUUCUCUGUGGGUUCGAAUCCCACCCUCGUCG